UGAGCCACAUAACCCAGCCCCAAUUAUUUUUAUUUUAUCCUUUUAAUUUCUCUUUCUCUGGGACUCUCAAUAAGCUGAGAGUUACAAUAUUAAGCCACAAGGAUAUCCCAAUUUACAUUUCCAAACUGCCACCCACCAGUUUCCUUCACAAACCCGAUUUUCUGGGCAGAUGGAUCCCCUCUGCCAAAGGAACAUGACAGGUUUCUUGCCGCCUCCAAACUUACAACUAAUAUUAAUAUAUUAGUUAAUAAUACAUUAACUAAUGACGAUUAGUUAAUAACUAAUCGUCAUUAGUUAAUGACGUAAAUAAAAUCUUUAUAUUUUCUUACGAGCUUUAUAACUUUACAAUUUUCCUCCAACUUCCUAAUGUUAUUUAAUGUAAAAAAUUGAAUUAAAGUCACUGAUUUGGUACACUGUUUCAGUUGGUGUUUUGGGGUGCAAGCAACAGAAAUCAACUGUAGCUAAUGUCAAGCUUUUAAGGUAAAAAAAGAAGAAGAAGAAGAAGAAUCUAUUGGAAGAUUAUUGAAUGGCUUGCAGAAUCCAUAAAAAGUCCAAAGUUGUGGGCUUGGGAAGUGGAUGAGAGCCAUUGUGGUUUGGUGGCAGGACUACAAGCAAAGACAUGCCACAAGAAUGGGCUGGCGUGGAAACCACUUCUGGGCACUGUCAUUGUUGGACAUCACAGCUGAUGGCCUCUGGCCACUCUCUCAGUCAUUAGUUGCUGCUGCCACAAACUGAACACCAAAUAGUUCUUGAGUUUUUUUCAAAAUUUGUUCAAGAUUUGAAAUCCUGGACAAGAUUAUCUAAUGGCCUGGGGCAAGGCCUAUGUAUGCCCUUGCCCUUGGCUUCCUGGAACCUAAAUCCCACGGAGAUCCAGAGUGGGCACACCUCCAAAAUAGAAAAGGAGCUUCCAGAAUGUGAAAACCAUCUACCAGUUUUGUUUUGGUGGUACUGGAGAAUCAAACCGAGGUCCUUGCAUAUGUGCCAGAGAGGCACCUUACCACUGAGCUACAUCCCCAGCCCUCCAGUCUUUCUUAACAACUAAUUAGGGACACAGUCUGCUCCACUGCACCUGACUGGAACUGGAAGAGGAAAGGGAGAGAUGGUAGGAAGAAGGUGAUAAAACUGCUGAGCUCUGACUAGUGUCCAUGUUGCACUCUACUUAAUCUUCAUCAGCACUCAGUGAGCUAAGCCAAAAAUUGGUCCAUCCAGAGCAAUUAAAAGCUUCCUUUGCCAGACCUUGGGGAUUUCUGUCUGAUCAAUGAGAAAAACACCAUAGUUGGAAAACAGCCGAAACCAAGAACAGAACAAUCGUGCCUUAGCUGUUC